AGAGUUUGAUCAUGGCUCAGGAUGAACGCUAGCGGCAGGCUUAAUACAUGCAAGUCGUGGGGCAGCAGGGCUGUAGCAAUACAGUCGCUGGCGACCGGCAAACGGGUGCGGAACACGUACACAACCUCCCUUCAAGUGGGGAAUAGCCCGGGGAAACCCGGAUUAAUACCCCGUAUCAUAUUAGAGUGGCAUCGCUUUAUUAUUAAAGCUACGGCGCUUGAAGAUGGUGUGCGGCUGAUUAGGUAGUUGGCGGGGUAACGGCCCACCAAGCCUACGAUCAGUAACUGGUGUGAGAGCACGACCAGUCACACGGGCACUGAGACACGGGCCCGACUCCUACGGGAGGCAGCAGUAAGGAAUAUUGGUCAAUGGACGCAAGUCUGAACCAGCCAUGCCGCGUGGAGGAUGAAGGUCCUCUGGAUUGUAAACUUCUUUUAUCUGGGAAGAAACCCAUGGAUUCUUCUGUGGUUGACGGUACCAGAUGAAUAAGCACCGGCUAACUCCGUGCCAGCAGCCGCGGUAAUACGGAGGGUGCAAGCGUUAUCCGGAUUCACUGGGUUUAAAGGGUGCGUAGGCGGACAGGUAAGUCAGUGGUGAAAUCUCUGGGCUUAACUCAGAAACUGCCGUUGAUACUAUUUGUCUUGAAUAUCAUGGAGGUAAGCGGAAUAUGUCAUGUAGCGGUGAAAUGCUUAGAUAUGACAUAGAACACCGAUAGCGAAGGCAGCUUACUACAUGAAGAUUGACGCUGAGGCACGAAAGCGUGGGGAGCAAACAGGAUUAGAUACCCUAGUAGUCC
rnacentral:rRNA from 1 species